rnacentral:tRNA from 1 species
GCCUUUGUGGUGUAGUGGAAUUAGCACAUUCGGUGUGUAUUCGAGAGGUCCGGGGUUCGAGUCCCGGCAAGGGCA